rnacentral:misc_RNA from 1 species
UUCAGAAGAAAGUGUGGAGGAGU